rnacentral:rRNA from 1 species
GUACACUCCUGCGGGAGGCAGCAGUGGGGAAUUUUGGACAAUGGGCGAAAGCCUGAUCCAGCAAUGCCGCGUGAGUGAAGAAGGCCUUCGGGUUGUAAAGCUCUUUUGUCAGGGAAGAAACGGUGAAAGCUAAUAUCUUUUGCUAAUGACGGUACCUGAAGAAUAAGCACCGGCUAACUACGUGCCAGCAGCCGCGGUAAUACGUAGGGUGCAAGCGUUAAUCGGAAUUACUGGGCGUAAAGCGUGCGCAGGCGGUUUUGUAAGUCUGAUGUGAAAUCCCCGGGCUCAACCUGGGAAUUGCAUUGGAGACUGCAAGGCUAGAAUCUGGCAGAGGGGGGUAGAAUUCCACGUGUAGCAGUGAAAUGCGUAGAUAUGUGGAGGAACACCGAUGGCGAAGGCAGCCCCCUGGGUCAAGAUUGACGCUCAUGCACGAAAGCGUGGGGAGCAAACAGGAUUAGAAACCCUAGUAGUCCCAUG